UUUUUUUUUUUUUUUUUUUUUUUUUGGUUUUUUAGAGACAGGGUUUCUCUGUAUAGCCCUGGCUAUCCUGGAACUCACUCUGUAGACCAGGCUGGCCUCGAACUCAGAAAUUUGCCUGCCUCUGCCUCCCAAGUGCUGGGAUUAAAGGCGUGCACCACCAUGCCCGGCUGCAAACCGAUUUUUAAACUAAUCCAGAAUUGACUUUUCAGUAAAAUCACCCUUUCCUUUCUGUGUGUUGUGUGCCUUAGGGCAGUUCUCACUGGUGUAGGCUACACUAACCAUGUCUCUGUUUUAUUAUUGGGAGUUGGUAAAGGUGAGCAAUGAUAUGUAUCCUUGUGUUUGCUUGUUUGUUUGAGACAGUGUUACUCUGUAACAAGCCCCCACUGUUCCAGGCUGGCUUUGUAGACCAGGCUGGCCUCAAAUUCACAGAGAUCCGCCUGCCUCUGCUUCCCCAGUGCUGGGAUCAAAGGCUUGAGCCCCCAUGCCGGGCCAGUGGUAUGUAUCUUAAUUGAAAGCUUUUGCUUACAGUAUAUCAAUAUUUUGUUACUGUGCUUUGGUGUUGGGAACCAAGGUCUUAUCAUUAGUAGUCGUACCCAUAAUCCACCCUGUAGGCUUUUCAGCAUGGACCUCAGUGGGGCUGAAAGCAGAUCUCAAAGUAUUUCUCUCCAGCUCUUCUGUCUUCAUCAGUGCGGCCACGCUACAUGUGAAAGGCUAUCCCCUGCAGCGUGCCGUUCUUUUAAAGCAACAAGCAGUUUCACAGAAAUAGAAACCUGUAUAGUCAUUUCAUUGUUAGUAAAGUUAGCUUCUUACUAAAGAAGAAAAACUGGCAGAGCAAAGCUCCUGAGAAGCAGGUAGCCAGCAGGACGAAGGCAGCCCCCUGAUGGGGCGGCAGCAUGGGCGCUUGCUCAGGGCCUUCUGGCUGCAGUUGCUGCUGGAGUGCUGCACCUGCAGUUCUGUUUGGUCGCAGCCCAUUUUGCACAGAGGCUCCUUUUCCCGCACAUCCUAAGCAUCGCCAUUCCUACUCGGACUACGCUCAGGAAACAGUGUCCCCACACAAAGCCUGUCUUCUGUACCAUCUAUCUUGACUGAGCAGAUUCUUGGCCCCUGAAGGAAUUUUGUCAGAGUUGGUGACUGUAUUACCUAACAGUAAAGAAAUGGAUAAUGGACAGGUAGUGUUGGGUUUUUUCCUCCCAUCUUCCUACCUUGUUUAUUUUGUAAUUGGCUGUAAGAACCCUGACUAAGGAUGCUUAAGUUUUGCAUAGGCCAAAGCCGGCAUCUUUGAUUUGGUCAGUCUCUUGUGAGCUGCAUCUCUAACCAUUCUCAAGUCAAGCAAAGAAAUUGUUGCAGGAACCUCGGCUCUCUGCAGUAGAGUUUGAGGCGAUGGCCUCUCUUUACAAAGCUCUGUGUUUAGGGUGUGUAUCAGAGCUUGUGGUUAUGUCGCUUGUAAAAUGUAAUGGAACUUUCACAUGUUGGGAAUUGUAUUUAGGACUUUCUUAACCCUUUAAACAGGGCUUGGGCCUGUCGCUCACUGGUGGAGCCUUUGCCUGGAAUUCAGGAGGCCCUGUGUAAGGUACCCAGUGCCCUCGAAGAAUAAAGCAGAUAGUAAUGAAAACAAAUAAAACAGAGUUGGUCGGCAGAAACCCAGACAAGAGGCCUGUAGUGGCUAUUCACAGUGACUAUUGGUAUUUUGCCUGUUUUCCCCAAUCCAUUCUCUGAUUGUCUAAUUUCCUUUUGCUUUUUCAGUGAUGACCACGUAAAGUUCUUCUGCUUCCAAGUACUAGAGCAUCAAGUUAAAUACAAGUAAGGCCAUUUCACUGUUUCCAGUCUUCACGGCUUGUCGGGAUAGGAAUGUUUGAAUUUUCUGAGGAAACCAAAAAUACAGGUGGUAAACUAACCGCGUAGACAUUCUCUCUGGGCUGUGAACCUGUUGUGAUUUUUCCCAAACUAAAUCAGUCUACAGACCUCACCACAUAGUCAGAAAAAUCACAUAGCUGUCAUUUUGUCUGAUGGAGAACUGAACCGAGAAUCUGAGUUCAGUGACUCUAGUCUGUCUGAUGCUCUGAUCUGUGCGGUCUUCCAAUACUGUGACAGAGGGUGUUUACAUUGUUUUAGGAAACCCUGAACACUAUAAAAUGCUCCAUUUUCAAUAGGUGAGAUUGACUUUGAAAGCCACAGACCACAAAUGCAGUGACUGCUGCGUCUUUACCAGGUACUCAGAAUUAAGCACUGCUGUUGUGUCUUUACCAGGUACUCAGAACUAAGCACUGCUCAGCAGCAGCUCAUCAGGGAGACACUGCUCUCAUGGCUUCAGGCUCAGGUAAAACAGUCAUUCCUCUGUGCCUCGAGCAGCCCUCUGUCUGCUUCAUCCUGUGUCUACAGUGCUAGUCGUGAGGGUCACAGGCAGAAACAGUAAUAACUUAAGGCUGCGCUCAUAACCAAAACUGUUGGACUUUCUUCUGUAACGUGCUGUGAAAAAUUAUUUUGGGACCCAGUCUCACUGUAUAGCUCUGGCUGGCCCGGGACUCCUGUCCCUGCCUCCCAAAGACCAGGAUCAAAGGUGCCUGCCAUCACACCUAGUUAGAACUUUGGUUUUAAAAAGAAAUUCUUUAUCUAAAAUAAACUAAGCUUUUUAAAUUACUAUUAUGUAUAGAUACGUUUGUGUGUGGGUAUGUACACCUGACUGCAGGUACCCACAGAGUCCGAUAGAGGGUGUUAGACUCCCUGCAGCUGAAGUUCCAGCUGGUUGUGACCUGCCCAGUGUGGUUCUAGGAACUGACCUCCGGCUCUCUGCGUGAUCAGGGCCUGUACUUCCCUGCAGAGCCGUCCCUCUACCCCCUAGAGUUUAUUGACUUAAGUCUUAAGCUCCUGACAGGACCGGCUUUUGUGUUCGGUCCUUAGAGCUGGCCUGUGCUGACACAGCCAAUAUACAGAGGCACUUCUACAAGAACAAUAAGUUGUUUAUUCUCACACUCCUCCUGGUUAACUAUAGUUAAGCUUAGCAUUUAAAGCUUCCGGGUUAACUAGAGCCUCUUCCUUUACAAUCGAACUGAAGAAGGAAGAACAACUGAAUUUUUUUCCUUAGAAGAAAUUAUGUGAAUUGUUAAAGUUGUGUUCAUGAAACUUAAAUGACUGAGAGUUUGUGGCUCCUGUGCCUAAAUCUCAGUGAUCAGAAGGUAGAGGCAGGAAUAUUGUUAUUUCGCAGCCAGCGUGUACUUUGUAACAAGUUAAAGGUCAACUUGAGCUGCCUAGUAGACCUUGUCUCAAAAAAAAAAAUCCAAAAAACC
rnacentral:lncRNA from 1 species